GACGAACGCUGGCGGCGUGCUUAACACAUGCAAGUCGAACGGAAAGGCCCUGCUUUUGUGGGGUGCUCGAGUGGCGAACGGGUGAGUAACACGUGAGUAACCUGCCCUUGACUUUGGGAUAACUUCAGGAAACUGGGGCUAAUACCGGAUUGGAGCUCCUGCUGCAUGGUGGGGGUUGGAAAGUUUCGGCGGUUGGGGAUGGACUCGCGGCUUAUCAGCUUGUUGGUGGGGUAGUGGCUUACCAAGGCUUUGACGGGUAGCCGGCCUGAGAGGGUGACCGGCCACAUUGGGACUGAGGUACGGCCCAGACUCCAACGGGAGGCAGCAGUGGAGAAUAUUGCACAAUGAGCGGAAGCCUGAUGCAGCAACGCCGCGUGCGGGAUGACGGCCUUCGGGUUGUAAACCGCUUUCGCCUGUGACGAAGCGUGAGUGACGGUAAUGGGUAAAGAAGCACCGGCUAACUACGUG
rnacentral:rRNA from 1 species